rnacentral:tRNA from 1 species
GCGGGGGUGGCAGAGCCUGGCCAAAUGCGCAGGAUUGAGGUUCCUGUGUCGUAGAGACUGCGCGAGUUCGAAUCUCGUCCCCCGCA